rnacentral:rRNA from 1 species
GACGAACGCUGGCGGCGUGCUUAACACAUGCAAGUCGAGCGGUAAGGCCCUUUCGGGGGUACACGAGCGGCGAACGGGUGAGUAACACGUGGGUGACCUGCCCUCAGCUCUGGGAUAAGCCUGGGAAGCUGGGUCUAAUACCGGAUAUGACUCCAUGACGCAUGUUGUGGGGUGGAAAGCCUUGUGCGGCUGAGGAUGGGCCCGCGGCCUAUCAGCUUGUUGGUGGGGUGAUGGCCUACCAAGGCGACGACGGGUAGCCGGCCUGAGAGGGCGACCGGCCACACUGGGACUGAGACACGGCCCAGACUCCUACGGGAGGCAGCAGUGGGGAAUCUUGCGCAAUGGGCGAAAGCCUGACGCAGCGACGCCGCGUGAGGGAUGACGGCCUGG